rnacentral:rRNA from 1 species
AACGGGGGGACCAAGCGUAUUCGUCUUGAUUGGGCGUAAAGGGCAAGUAGACGGUUUAUUUUAAAAUACAAAUUAAAUUUUUGUUCUUUCGGACUUAAAACUUGUAUUUUGAUAAACUUUGAGUGCGAUAGAGGAUAGCAGUACUCUCAGAGGAGGGGUAAAAUUUCCACUGAUACUGAUGGGGACUCUCGGUGGCGAAGGCGGCUAUCUGGAUCGUUACUGACGUUGAGAGGCGAAAGCGUGGGGAGCAAACGGG